AAAUUUGGGCUUCACCGUUCCCUUACUUCCUUACAGAACUGAAUCAGCCGUUAUGUCUUUUCAUCAUCUGGAAAACUACGGCUUCUCUUCUCAUCUCUAAACCUCCCCUGUCGUUAUCUCUUCACCUCCGACUCGGUAGAUCUGCCCAGAUCAUUGUUGAUCGUCUCCUCCAUUUUUUGGGACUCGAAAAACAUCAAGAAGCAAGUUGAAUUCAUGGGAAUCAUUCUGCUCCUCCUUGAUGAGAAGAUAUUGUAACCAGAAGCGUUUUUUUUUUGCGGCUAGGGGCGGAUUGUAACCAGAUGCUCCCGUAAGCAUCGGUGGUCACAUCUUUAUAGCCCUUCUGUACGACAAGGGUCCUGUAAGUAGUGGUGGCUACAACGUACACGCCAUGGGUGAGAGCUCUUCUGUUGGCGGAGCAGGACACCAACUGAACCUCAUAACAGCUGGAUCUGUGACGGUUGCAACCGCAUCUUCCUCCACUCCAAACAUCGGUGGUAUUGAUUCUCCCUUUUAAGACGAAUCAGGUUACUCUGGGAUCUCAACCCAUGGCGAAAGAAACAGAUUAUGCCUUAAAUGGUAUGUUAUUUCACUAUCUUGGCAGUGAUUCUCUUUGUUUACUCGCGCCAUUAUACAUAAACAAGUAGGGAGUAAUUUAGAUUCAUUGUUGAAUUCGAGACUUUAAUAUAUUCAAGUGGAUGGAUUGGAUUACGUAUGGUUAAAAGACUGCAGACAUAGAUGAGAAAGCUAUCACGACAGAAAACCCUGAAGAUGUGGCUGUGGCCUUCGCUGAAGCAGCCAAGAUGAGAUAAUACUGAAACUGUGAGGUGAAAGCAUGUUUUCUCUGGAUCCUCAACCACUCUUAUCGGUUGUUGUGUACAAAGGUGACAUCAGACAAAAACCAACCCGCAAGGAAAAAGCUCCCAAAUAUACUUUUAAAGAUUCUUUUGUGAUUCUAAACCAUGGCUGUGGACAAGCUGUAGAAAAUUGUGACAUACUUCCCAGAUGGAUAGAGUGAAGAGAGGGGAUAAUGUCUACUACAUGGCCUAUGCAAUGGGAAGGAUAACCUAUAUGCUGAAAACGUCAAGCCAGAGAGAUGGCUCAAGGACACCAUCCAAAUUCAUAAGCUUUCAUGUUUGUGCACUUUUUCCCGGACAAUUAAGCUAUGUAUGUACCUAAGAGUAUAAGACGUUGUCUUUUGAUUAUAUUUUUUUCUUUGACUGUGUAUGUAAGCUGGACCAAGAAUUUGUCUUGGUAAAAGAACUUCGCAUAUGAGCAA